UUAAGUUCUUGGAUUCAUUUAAAUAAGACAAAUCGCCAUGUUCAAUUGUGCGCCACGCUCCUUUACCUCGGGAAGCAACACUGCGCACACAGACCACGAGUUGGGUCCACCAGGAACAGCAAUUCACCCGAAGCAACACAUGGUUCCGAUGAUUUAAGGAAAUUUUAGACAUACGUAAAUACAUGUGUCAGGUAGCAAUACUGCCUGAGAGCCUGCUGCUCCAAACUCCCAACACCGAGAAGCGUUUUUUCCCCACCCGAGUUGAUCGGGCCACGCAGCGCUGGGGCCCCACUCUCCACUCCUUUUGUUGGCCCUAUUGUAAUGAGUGUGUGUUGGGAUCGGGGGCGUAAUGAGAGGGCUGCGACCCCCCGAUGGGGUGGAUUUGCUGUCCAAAGACCGUUAGACAGCGCCAGAAUGAAUGGGGGAGUGAAUGUCAUUGUUAUGCAGCGGGACAGCUCCUCCUUCGCGCUGGUUAAGACCGAGAGGCCGCACUGUCCAGAAACCGAGCUAGGAGAAAAACACUGCCUUCGAUUUCGCUACUUUUUCUCUUUCCCCUUGUCUCCGUCAUAUUUCCUAUGUGUUUCCGGACAAAUGAUGGCUGUUAGCUACUUUUGGGACCAGCACUGAAGGAGGUUUUCCCAGAGGAUCAUCUUCCGACAUACAGGAUUCAAUGUGUGAAGAUAUUUUACAAGAACCACUGAGUCUAGCUCCUAUCUGCAGAGCGUCUUUCUCAAGGACACUUCGGUGAUGAGGCUUUGGCUAACUGGGGAGAACGCGGCCCGGCCAAUGACGUCAUCACGUCCCCAUGUAAUCCUUUUGCGUUGAGCCCAAUCAGCAGAAGGCUGCGCGUGUCUGGGCCGGGAAGAGAGAACCUCUAAUCCGCGAGACUGGAUCAGAGCGGCUGAGAGAGAAAAAAACACCCACCCAGGGCUGGAGCAAAAAAAAAAAACGUUUGCCGAGGACGGGCGAGAUUAAAAAAGGAUGGAUCGGAGAGGACGUGGCCCAGUGCUGGUGGGGGUCGGUGGAGCGCGACAAUGCACGGAUGAAUUUAACCGAGGAUGCCGCAAAGGGGAGCCGAGCUUCAUGGAAGGGAAAGGCAAAUGAUCGUCGAGAAGACACAGGGCAUAGAAUGAACAUGGCAGUCAUAGUAUAAACGUCGUCGCGCUGCGUGAGGUUAUUAUCCUCAUAUAUCUUUUUUUUUUACCUUUUGUUUUGAGGCGCGUUUUAUUUACAGGAGCACGCGCGAUUAAUUUGAAGAGGAGCGCUGCUAUGCGUAGACCGACCAGGAGAGUGCAUUUGCAUAGACAAGCGGAGAGACACGGACAAAACGUCGUAUUCUUUCCCGGUACCGUAGAAUAUUUUGAAAUGACACCCUGUCCUUUUUCUUCUUUACAUCAUUUUUUAUCAUUAUGAACAAAGGAAAAGCAUCGGUAUUUUGAGAAAAUCUUGGACACAGAGACGCCAUCAAAGCAAACUCUUCUGAUAUCACGGAGCAUCGCGAUGCUGAGCGCGACAGAAAAUCUCUUCUCUUCCAUGACCUUGUACACUAUACGCUUCAUUUAAAUGCCCCUGCUUGGACUAAAAUGUGUCGUGAUAUUUCACUCCUUCUUUGUUUUGAAUGUUGCAGGAUGUGUGUUUGUAACGGGCAAUUGAUGCACUAGUCGGUUUGCGUCACUGCUGCGCAUGCAUUCAUACUAAAGUUAGAGAGAGAGAGAGAGAGAGAGAGAGAGAGAGAGAGAGAGAGAGAGAGAGAGAGAGAGAGAAGGGGGUGAUUUUAGGGGAGGGGACGAAACAGUGCACUCUGAUGUCCAUCCAAUUCCACGGAAAGCGCUCUGCUAGAGGCGGUGCUCGGAGCGCGAAGUUCGAGCACCUUGUAUUAUGUUGUGUGGUCGGCGAUAAACGGGAAGCUUGGACGGGUUCUUGCUCUGCGUGUUCACAGCGGACCUUGAUUUAAUGUCCAAACAAUUAAGGCACGCGGUGAAUGCCAAGAGAGGAAUCUCCUGAGCAUCUUGUUUCCUCCAUUCUAUCAUAUUCAGCGCGAGUUGACAGGCUUAAUGUGUACGACGGCUGUGACAGUCAUCAGCGUUUAAGCGCGCCUACUCAUGUUCAGCACUACUGCGGGACGAUAACAGGUUAUCAGCUUCAUUAGUGCAAGGCGUUUAGUAACAUAUCAAAAGGAUGGAUGUAGAAGGGGUUAUUUUCCUUUCACGUUCACAGGAACAGAAUUACAGGCCUUGAGCCAUUUGGUUGUUUGGCGCAACCUUUAAAUGCAGGCCCCAGUCUGCGUGACUAAAUGUGAUAUAGUUUAUGUAACCACAUCACAAACUAAGAAUGUAAAUUUAAGACAAUUAAUCAUGGGGUUUAAACGCAAGCUGCCUACUCGUAAGAAUCAGUCUUUAGUUUUAAACUAGCUUUCGCACAUAACAGACAGAUGUGUUUGCGUAAGCAGGCCUAGCUUUUUGUGGACUAGUAAAUACAUCCAGGCAUGUCUUCGUUUAAAAGAAUGCACACUGAUUAUAUUGAAUGAAUAUGUGUGCUGUAGUCAAUAUCACAGGCUACUCAUGAGACAAUCAAUCGACAUUAGCAUAUGUUGCAAUGUGACAAGUUUAAGCUUUCUCUAUGUGAGUGCGCCACCUAUAGAGUUAAUCAGUAACUCCUGUUUAGAAACACGCCUAAAUCUACUAACUUCCUAAACAGCAAUACAAGGAUCAGCUUUUUAGUGGGCUUUUUGUUUUAGCUUAUCGUAAAAUGGUUUCUAGGCCUAAAUGUUUGCUCAAAAAAUUUUGUGCAUUAACGAAGAGUAAACUGUAAAAGCGGACCAUGUCUAUGGGAAUGUAAUUACAGUAUCACGUUGCGCAGUGGCAUUACUUAAGAAGAGAUACUAGUGUAAAGGAAAAAUGAUCUGCUGGUUGUUUCAUACUUUUAAUGAGGCAGUAGCAGGUCAUUCAGUAUAAAUUGCCGCAUUUGUUGUUUAUGCCUGUCUUCCUUUAAGGCUUCUGCUUGUCCUACAUGGCACAGUCUGUUCCUAACAUCUUUGCUGAGGAACAGCAUGUUCCAGCCAAAUGCUGCUCCAGGUGGUGAAGUGACAAAGACAAAACAUGUUAGAGGCAAACAAUAGGCUAAAUACAGUGGAAGAAGUUACUUAUAUUACUUCAUACAGAUAUAUUGUGUAGUUGCGUAUUUUAUAACGCACCAAAUGGAUAAAUGUCAUAUGCAGACUACAUAUACGAAAAAGUCGUUAGGAUCUGGUAAUGUAUCAAUAACCAAAUCAUUACAGCUGAAAAAAAGAAGUUCGGGUAAUCCUAUGGGAAUGCAUUAAAAAUAGAAAAUGUCAUUUCGUUACUCUUAAGAUAAACAUUAGUUAUUAUCCACACAGGUCUGUCAUUGCGUUUUUUGCUCUUGUGCCUGUGUGUAAAUAAUGUGACAUUUCUAUUGUGAUUCAGAGUUGCAGAAUAGUGCGUUGUUAUUUUAGACCAAGUUAUUUAAUUAAAAAAGGAACUGGUAAGUAUCGUGCAAAACGAUAUUUCGACACAAGUGUUAUGAUUUGAUCCUAUGUCAUUGACUAACAAAUGCAAAUAAAUGUAUUAAUCUUU